AUUUUGCUGUGGUGGAGUCGGCUGCUGUCAAGCAUUAACUUCUUAAUAAUAAAGCCUUUCAGACCCUCGACUAUCUGCACAAAGAUGCACUUGAAGCUAGUGGCUUGGCAGAGUGUGCACACUCGUUCUGUUAUGCUCUGAAGCUGUUUCAGAAGCUGUGGUUUCUGCCCCUACCCUGACCUUCUCAGCCCUGCUCACAGCUGUACAUGGAGGAUACAACAGGAAGGAAAAGAUGAUCGGGAAUCACCUUUGGCCCUAAGGAGUUCCAGCUUCAGCCUACUCUGCUCACAAGGGAUCUAAGGGAUCUACCAUUCACUCUUCCAAGAAAAUUGCUGCUAAUGUUUUGACUAUAAAAGAUAUGGGUGUCAAUCAUCAUUCAAUGUCUCUAGCAGAUGAGAGACUUCAAUUCUAGUGUAAGUCUUUAUACUAGGUUCCCUGACCAGAAGUGGUUCUUCAGUAAUGAAGGUGAAUUGCCUUUUGCUCAUGGUUGGUCACUGUGGACCUUUGUCUGCAGUGCUAUUGGAGAACCUCUGAUGCUCUUCAGUCACUGUGCCACUCUGAUAUAUUCUCCUGCUUUUAAAGCUGACUCUCCUCAACCUGAUAGUAAUUAUAUGUUGAUUACCUAUAUAUUAUUGAAUUGUGGCAGCAGCUACAUCAAUAUUAAAUAACUACUGUUUACUAAGCAUUCACUGUAUCCUAGGUUGCUGACAGGGCAUAAUCACCCAACAAGACAGAGACAAGACUAUAACCAUUAUCCACAUUUAUCAAGGACAAAAGCAAGGCUCUAAGACUGAUGAAAUGUGCCCAUAGUCCUACAGAAGAAAGCAGCAAUUAGGCCAUGGCAUUCUGAUGGGAAAAUCUGGGCAAACUACCUCUCUGUAGACAGAGAGAUCUUCCAACUGCUAUCUCUAACCUUCCCACCUCCAAUUCACUUCUACAGAGAAGUAGAUUGUGCAACUAGAACACUGGCCUGGGCCUUUGGUCCCACUUCUUAUCUGACAGCCAGUUAUCAUCUACUUCUCAGGAAUGUCUUUCUAUACCACUGCUUUCAACAUUUCACAACCAAAAAGCAAUGGAGUUUCUGUGAUGCCUACUCCUGGGACCUAGAGACCACAAAUCAAGGCUGAACUUUGCCUGAUUGUUACUGUCAAUUCACUAUUUUCUUUAUAAUCUACUAGCUUUGGGGGACUUUAAAAUCUUAAGAUAUAUCUUAACCCUUUUUCCGGAGCAUUUAAUUUUUUCAGACCUUUAAAAUAGUUUUGUUCUUUCUUUGUCCUUGAUUAUCUAAACUUGUACAACUAGAAAUGUUUUCCCAGCCUCAAUCCUUAUCCUUCCUAGGACUUCAUUGCUUUAGUGGUUACUUUCUGAAAUCACCUAAUCUUUCUAUAUAUCUCUACAAUUUGGGGGACUAAUACCCAGUAAUGACUAUAACUAUUCUAGUGGAGAUUCCAGCAACUGUGUCCAAAAAGGGAUCUCUGUCUUCAUAUCUAAAUUCCUCAUAUAUGGCUAUCACUUGGCAAAUCCAACCUUUCUUGAGGCUUUUCUUCGUAUCAUCAUCCCUAAGUAUCACUGUCAUUCUCAUCUUUCUUCUUUUGCCAAAAUAAGAUGAUAUUCCUCUAGAUUUAUUUAUUGAACUAAUCAAAUAUUUCUAUGCACAGUGAAUGGAAAACACAUUUAAUUAGAUACCUAAGACACAAAAACAACAAGAAGAAAUAAAAUAUCAGAAGUAUUUUCCCAAAAAGAUCAGAUGAAAAAGUUGUCUUUUAUCAGUUCUUUUUUUUUCUUCUUUUAUCAGUUCUGAAGGUAAUUUACCAUACCUACCAUAAAGUCUCUGCUUGAUACAUAAAACAUUUGGAGUAAUCAUAAUGGAGCUUCACUUCUUCUCAUCAGAUUAUGGGCCCAAGAGAGCAGGAAAAGCUCUGCCAUGCAUAUUUACACUCAACAAAACUCCAUGGCCAUUUCUGCCUUCCUUUAAUCCAUCCCAUCUGUUUCUUACUCAAUCAUGCCUUCUUUUAGUCAUUCAACAAAAAAUACAUGUGUAUUAUGAUCCAGAAACUAUAUGCUAGUUUGUGGUAUUACUCUAAUAAUGCAAGAUGGCCAUCCUUCCACUGGGUAGAAUCACACAGGAUCUUAGGAAUCUGAAACCUCUUUUAAAAGGAUU